GCAGCGGCGGCCAUGAGGGCGGCGGGCCGGCAGAUGCCCGCGGCGGCGGCCGGGGAGCCGGGCAGCCACGCCCGCGGCGAGCAGCCCCGGCAGAAAUGUGUAUAUGUUGAGCCACCUAGGAGAGUUAAAGAAAUACUGGAGGAGCACUUUCAUUUACAAGAAGAAGAAUGCAAGAUCAAUCAUCCAGCUGCAGUGGCUCUGGAAGAAGUUUGGAAUGUGAAGAACAAUUUCUCCAUUAGAAGCCUGAAACCAGUGUCACAGAACAGCAGAGACUUACUUUUACAGCCUCAAUUCUACUCAAGACAUGCAAGAAUGAAAAUAAGUAGGCAACAGACUUUGAAAUCUUUGCAGAAGAAAUCUGUUCAGGACUGCUGUGUUGAGUCACCUUAUUUCAUAUUCUGAAACCUUUUGUAAAGGUUCCUCAUCUAUUUUGUGGAAUAAUCACUUGGUUCCUACUGAUAGAUGAUUGCUGAAUGUCAAUGCUGUGAAGACCUGAGCCUGCUUUGAUGUGUCAAAUGAAACGUCAGCAUAACUAGCUACCUUUGAAAAUGCAGAUGUUUUUUAUAGGAUUUUGAAUAAAGUUCUAAUUGAAUAUGGAA